UCCUCUCUCAUUUGACUCACUCUUACAGGGGUAAAAUGGUAACUUGAAUACUAGAUAUUUGUUUCCAAACACACUCCAAGAUUCUAGAACGAUCUGCCAUGUGAAACCAUCACCAAAACUCCGGCAAUAGCUAUCCGAAAUCAAACCAUCGCCUCCUCUGUUUCCCACCGAAGCUCUAUCAGAAAAACCCAGCAACUAAUUCAUCGUUGAUGCCGCCGUGAAUCACCACUGACCACCACCAAAAUUCAUCGUUGAAGGCUAAUGAGCCCAAGGUGUUCGGUGAUAUGCCUGAGACAACUAAAUUAUUUGGGUGAAUUUGGCACAGUAUAAGCAAAAUUCAAAAGUUAAUUAAGAAGACGAGGAACCAAAAUACCUACGUUGGCUACCCUUUUUUUCCUCGCAUUACUGAGGUAACAACAUGCUGGUUUCAAGGGUGCUGACAAAAGUGUUGCUUGUUCUCCGUCUGCCGAAGUUGAAUGGAAGAAAUUGUAUGGAAUCAGAGGAGAAUUUAGAGCACCAGUGCAAAUACUGGCCCUAAUCGAGAAAGAAUAACUAAGAAAAGCGGGGAACCAAAAAACAUGAAGGGUGGCCUUCUUUCCUCUUAUCCAUAGGGGAAUCAAGACAAAUGCUAUGACAUCAGAUUACCACCAUUUUGCCCUUUAGGUACCAUGAAAAUAAGGGGAAAUGUGAUAUAGAUGCAGCUUUUCAAGAGUAAUAUGCCUUAUUGUGUCGAGGUAAUUUGGUUGGCAAAACCUUUCUAUUUUAUGCCUUUUAGGGUUAAUGGAGUCCAAAUGGAAUAACAAGAACUAUUGACGAAAAAAGAGAAUACUUUAGUUGUCCCAAAGGGAGUACAAGGCAUGUACGCCAGAUACUUUCUUGCUACAUCAGUUAAUUCUCUCUAUGAGAUCUUAUUAAAUGUAUUGUGAAGGGUUCUUAGAGGCCAAAAUAGUUGUCAAACUCGUCAGGGAGGAUUCCAAAUUUUUAUGUGGGCAUACGUAAUUGGUGUAUAUUUUACUACUAUAUAUAAGGGAGGAUUCCAAAUUUUUAUAGUCCUCAAGGAUUUUAAUCCAAUGGUGUUCCUACACAUGGCUUUGUUUUGUCUUUUCCUUGCCUAUUAUCAAUUUUUUGGACUCAUUCUUUAUCUUAAGUAAAUUUUUAUGUGGGCAUAUGUAAUUGGUGUAUAUUGAAUUGUAAUAACUUUUUGUGAAUCUCUUCUUGCUCUUUACUUCCUUCGGUUCAUAUUA